ensembl:lncRNA
GGGGACCAGGUGGAUGGACUGGGGACCAGGUGGAUGGACUGGGGACCAGGUGGAUGGACUGGGACCAGGUGGAUGGACUGGGGACCAGGUGGAUGGACUGUGGACCAGGUGGACCAGGUGGAUGGACUGGGGACCAGGUGGAUGGACAGGGGACCAGGUGGACCAGGUGGAUGGACUUGGACCAGGUGGAUGGACAGGGGACCAGGUGGACCAGGUGGAUGGACUGGGGACCAGGUGGAUGGACUGGGGACCAGGUGGAU